rnacentral:rRNA from 1 species
CAGUAGCCGCGGUAAUACGGAGGGUGCAAGCGUUACUCGGAAUUACUGGGCGUAAAGCGUGCGUAGGUGGUGGUUUAAGUCCGUUGUGAAAGCCCUGGGCUCAACCUGGGAAUUGCAGUGGAUACUGGGUCACUAGAGUGUGGUAGAGGAUAGUGGAAUUUCCGGUGUAGCAGUGAAAUGCGUAGAGAUCGGAAGGAACAUCUGUGGCGAAGGCGACUAUCUGGGCCAACACUGACACUGAGGCACGAAAGCGUGGGGAGCAAACAGGAUUAGAUACCCGUGUAGUCCCUGUCUCUUAUAC